rnacentral:rRNA from 1 species
AGGUGAUAUGAACCGUUAUAACCGGCGAUUUCCGAAUGGGGAAACCCAGUGUGUUUCGACACACUAUCAUUAACUGAAUCCAUAGGUUAAUGAGGCGAACCGGGGGAACUGAAACAUCUAAGUACCCCGAGGAAAAGAAAUCAACCGAGAUUCCCCCAGUAGCGGCGAGCGAACGGGGAGGAGCCCAGAGCCUGAAUCAGUGUGUGUGUUAGUGGAAGCGUCUGGAAAGGCGCGCGAUACAGGGUGACAGCCCCGUACACAAAAAUGCACACA